rnacentral:other from 1 species
AUUGACCUAAGAGAUAUAUGUAUUUCCUACACGAUAGAUAAGGGAAUCUGACUGUUGUCUAAUGGUGUUGAAAACCUGUCACGAAUAGGGAUCCUAAAAUUAGACACAAGAUACCCACCUGCAUAUACCAGGGAUUAAUCUAAAAAACUCUUAGGUUUUUC